UACGUAGGGGGCAAGCGUUGUCCGGAAUUAUUGGGCGUAAAGAGCUCGUAGGCGGCUUGUCGCGUCGUCCGUGAAAACCCACAGCUCAACUGUGGGCUUGCGGUCGAUACGGGCAGGCUAGAGUUCGGUAGGGGAGACUGGAAUUCCUGGUGUAGCGGUGAAAUGCGCAGAUAUCAGGAGGAACACCGGUGGCGAAGGCGGGUCUCUGGGCCGAUACUGACGCUGAGGAGCGAAAGCGUGGGGAGCGAACAGG
rnacentral:rRNA from 1 species